UUGUCCUUUGAGAGGAAUGUGCACCAAAUCAGGAGCCAUAUUACAUUUUAAGGUUUCCCCCAAACACAUUGGGGUACACCUUGAUAGUGAUGAUACUUUCAAACUGGGACAGGUUCGGGAACUUUGUCGUUCCCGGCUGGAGUCAAACUAUCAUAGUAUUCCGCCAAAACCUUCCAACCACCAGGGCUCAUAAAACCAUCUGGAGGGCUCUCUUUAUUCUUUGCAAAUGAUUGCAUCUGGAAAAACCAAAAAAUUAGUUGUGCCUUAAAAUUGAACAAGGCAUAGCUGAUGUACUAAACUGGACAGUGAGGCGUGAGCUACUGAGCUUGCAAAUCAGGAGCCAUAUUACAUUUUAAGGUUUCCCCCAAACACAUUGGGGUACACCUUGAUAGUGAUGAUACUUUCAAACUGGGACAGGUUCGGGAACUCUGUCGUUCCCGGCUGGAGUCAAACUAUCAUAGUAUUCCACCAAAACUUUCCAACCACCAGGGCACAUAAAACCAUCUGGAGGG
rnacentral:lncRNA from 1 species